rnacentral:rRNA from 1 species
GACGAACGCUGGCGGCGUGCUUAACACAUGCAAGUCGAGCGGUAAGGCCCUUUCGGGGUACGACGAGCGGCGAACGGGUGAGUAACACGUGGGUGACCUGCCCUCAGCUCUGGGAUAAGCCUGGGAAACCGGGUCUAAUACCGGAUAUGACUCCAUGACGCAUGUUGUGGGGUGGAAAGCCUUGUGCGGCUGAGGAUGGGCCCGCGGCCUAUCAGCUUGUUGGUGGGGUGAUGGCCUACCAAGGCGACGACGGGUAGCCGGCCUGAGAGGGCGACCGGCCGACACUGGGACUGAGACACGGCCCAGACUCCUACGGGAGGCAGCAGUGGGGAAUCUUGCGCAAUGGGCGAAAGCCUGACGCAGCGACGCCGCGUGAGGGAUGACGGCCU